CAAGAAGCCGAAAGGCUACUUCAAACCAUUGCGAACUCGUCCAAGUUGCUUCGGCGGUGCGGCUCCCCCCGGGGGCCGCGGCGCCGCGCCUCCCCGGAGGUGCGGGGCGCCCGCCGGAGGUCACAAACUCUCAUGUAUUAUAGUGGCAUCUCUGAGUAAAACACAAAUAAGUUA
rnacentral:misc_RNA from 1 species